rnacentral:tRNA from 1 species
UCCCGUAGCUCAGACGGGAAAGAAUCUGCCUGCAACGCAGGAGACCCAGGUUCGAUCCCUGGGUUGGGAA